rnacentral:rRNA from 1 species
AGCAGCCGCGGUAAUUCCAGCUCCAAUAGCGUAUAUUAAAGUUGUUGCAGUUAAAAAGCUCGUAGUUGAGUUUCGGGAUUAGUACGUUGGUCGUGCCUUCGGUACGUACUGGUGUUACUGAUUCCUACCUUCUGACGAACCAUCAUGUCAUUAAUUUGGUGUGGCGGGGAAUCAGGACUGUUACUUUGAAAAAAUUAGAGUGUUUAAAGCAGGCUCGCGCUUGAAUACAUUAGCAUGGAAUAAUGAAAUAGGACGUUGACCCUAUUUUGUUGGUUUCUAGGAUUGACGUAAUGAUUAAUAGGGAUAGUUGGGGGCAUUAGUAUUCAAUUGUCAGAGGUGAAAUUCUUGGAUUUAUUGAAGACUAACUACUGCGAAAGCAUUUGCCAAGGAUGUUUUCAUUAAUCAAGAACGAAAGUUAGGGGAUCGAAGACGAUCAGAUACCGUCGUAGUCUUAACCAUAAACUAUGCCAACUAGGGAUCGGAUGAUGUUAAUUUUUAAAUGACUCA